GCAGUCGUGGCCGAGUGAUUAAGGCGUUGGACUAUAAAUCCAUUGGGGUCUCCCCGCACAGGUUCGAAUCCUGUCGACUGCG
rnacentral:tRNA from 1 species